rnacentral:lncRNA from 1 species
GUUUAUUCAACCAAGGUUACAGAGUUCCCUGUUACUGCUCCAGAGCUUGUAUUUUUCCAAAACCUGCUUCCUUAGUUUUUCUUUCAAUUAUCUUAGGUACUCCCUAUCCUUCCAACAAAUUCCUUUUAUCUUCUUUAAUAUAUAAAAUUUUGAGCAAGACAAAUAAUCCAGAGAUUACUUGACUCCCAUGUCAAGCCCUGAUGACAACACAUUGUCUUCGGAGCCCUGACGAAGACUGGUAAGAUGAAAGGUGGCCCACCUGCCAUCUCUGGUUUCAUCCUUGUUGUCUGUCAAUUAUCUGGCCAGCUAUGUUGUCAUCCCCCAUUCAUAGGGCAAUAUAAAUAUUCUUCCUGCACAACAAACUGUCUGACCAGUUUGUGAUUUAACACCUUUCUCUGCAAUCUCUUAGCUUUUUUAUUGUAACAUGUAAAGAGUGUCCCCCCAUUCUCAUAAGCUUGUUAUAAACAUGAAAUACAAUUUGCUGAACCAGAACCAGUGUCAGCUUCUCAAUCACUUUUUCCUAACCACCUUAUUUUAAAUUGCAAUCACACUACCCUGCCUGUUCUCCUUCCUGUUUUAUCUCUAUCAGUAGCACACACCCCAACUAAUCCUCUACAAUUUUCCCCAUUCUUUUAGUUUAUUAAUCAUCUCUCCUGUAAAGUCAGUUCCAUAAAGAUGGGGCUAUCUUUAUUUAUUUUUUAUUUUUUAUUUUUUUGAGACAGUGUCUUGUUGUAG